AUGGCAACCUCAGAAUGGGAAGAAACUGCAGUCAGCCAGCUCAGUGCGGAAGCUCCAAGAAACCAAUUUGCCUGGGACUUGAGCCCAAGGAAAAAUGGUUUUGUACAUAGGGUAUUACAUUGUCAACUCAAGACAACUCAUAGACAAAAAGGGCAACUUCCCACUUCUAGCACCCGUCUCUGCAAAAAGUUUCUAUGGAACAGCCAUCCAGUCAAAACCAACACACUUUCUCCCAUGAGAUGUCAUCCGGCUUUCUCCAAGACGACUUCCUCCGACCGCAUGUUUGUCUUGGAAUGUCCUCAGAAGGCUCUGUCAGCCAUUUGCCAACAGGCUCCAACCCCCAGAGUCCGUCCAAUGGGUGGGGAGGGGCUAUUCAAAGUCUGUCUUUUCCCCUUGUGGCUUGUUGUCACCUCUUCCUCCUCUGAAACCACCUCGACCUCCAAAAUUUCCUCCUCUGCCUUGGCCUCCGAAGCCCCCUCAGACUCCUCUGCCACCUCCUUGUCCCCCAAAGCCUCCUCGUCCCCCACCACAUCCUCUUCCCGGGCUCCCAAAGCUGCUGUGCUUGGCAUUUUCUUUUUUAUCAUGCAUUCCUUUUAUAUUUCACUCAUAAGACCAUGAAAUCACAUAUCUGUAUUUCUCUCUGUCUAUAUCUAUGUUUCUAUGCAUUUAUGUAUGUAUAUAUGUAUGUAUGUAUGUAUGUAUAAAUCUAUCUAUCUAUCUAACUAACUAUGUAUCUAUGUAUCUUUCUAUAGAGAGAACUAGAAGGAAACUCGUCAUUUGGUCCAAAUCCCUCAUUUUAGAUGAAAUAUUUUGCUUCACAUUGACAUAGUAAGGUCUGAGGUUUCAUCAAUUCAAAGCACCAGGUGUGGUUUAAGAUGAUGUUUCAGAGAGCUAUUAUCAGGGUGAACCACCAUGAGGUGCUCUAGGUCAACCACAGUGCUUAGAACUACUGCCCUAACCCAUUCACUAGGGAUGAGUGAAUGAAACAGCUGCUCCUGUUGGUUGCUAUAUGUGAUCAUAAUGUAGUUCAAAGCUUGAACAAACCAAAUCGUUUCUGGUGCAUGUGUGAAAUUUUAGCUCUGUUAUACUUGGUUUUUCUCAGUGCAUGUCUGGGUGUUAUAUAUAGGAAUAGAAAGAGCUAAAAGAAUAACUCAUAAAUCUCUCAUAGCUUAGCUCUUAUCUUCUGGGGAUGACAAAGUGUAGCUACUUCUCUACUUCAUUGAAGACCUUAAUACCUCAUUGUUCUUUUUACCUGCCAAUAUUUCAUCAACUAUUCCAGGGAAAACCAAUUGACCAGGGGUGUUUUGAUCAAUUUCCUUAUAUUUCACAAGCAUCAAAGAGGAAGAAUUGGGGGAUAGUCUCUUUCUUGGCUUACCACAUUCUCCUCCCACUAUCAAGCUGCUCCUUUACUGACUGUUAACAGUGUCUUAAUGAGCUAUAAAGUUUUAUUCUAAUCCCUAGUAUGAUGAUGCUACUUUUGGAUACCUUAAAGGCUGAUCACUACAGAACUAUUGGCCAGAUGCCAUUUUCCCCAUUUUUCCCCCAAAGGCCUUCAGGGUUUCUCUUCACUAUUCUACUUUUUUAAAAUUGUGAUUCUCUUUUAAAAUACCUCAUUCAUAGUAGGACACUAAAAGGGCCUUAAGCAUACUACUUAAGUUAAAUGACAGUUCUCCUAGUCCUAUAUUUCCUAUUCUUUAUGAGUCUAAAAUACCAGGAAACCAAAGUGGGGAAAAAAUAAUUAAUGUCUGAAACAGAGAAUUGAAUAUAUGGUUAAAUGACUUGUACAGGGUCAAAAAGAUAAUGAAUAGCUGAGCCAUGAUUUGAAACUAGGUGUUCUGACUCCAGAUUUGGUGUGCAAAUUUCCGCUAUCCCAUUAUUGCCUUUUGUUUACAAACUGGCUUAUUCCACCUUUCAGAUUGACCUCACAAACCCUAUACUCUAGCCAAACUGGAAUAACCACUGCCUUCUAAUUUUGAUAUUUAAUGUCUGACUUUUGUGCCUUUUAAAAAAUAUUUUGAACUUAACCACAAAAUAAAAUGAACAUUACUGUGUAAAGGAGAUAAUAU
ensembl:lncRNA